rnacentral:rRNA from 1 species
UACGGAGGGUGCAAACGUUGCUCGGAAUCAUUGGGCGUAAAGCGCACGUAGGCGGCUCGUUAAGUCGGAUGUGAAAUCCCUGGGCUCAACCCAGGAAGUGCAUUCGAAACUGGCGAGCUUGAAUAUGGAAGAGGGUCGCGGAAUUCCCGGUGUAGAGGUGAAAUUCGUAGAUAUCGGGAGGAACACCAGUGGCGAAGGCGGCGACCUGGCCAAUGAUUGACGCUGAGGUGCGAAAGCGUGGGGAGCAAACAGG